GAGAAAAACAUUACUCUUUUUUUUUUUUAAAUAAACUAUUGUUUUGAAAAACAGGUUGGAGUGGUGCACGUUCAUCCAAAUUUCCACCAGGAAAGUAAAACAGCCUUGCUCAAUUCAUUGGACAGAAAUCUGUUUUAUUACCUCUGUGUUGAUGUUACUCUCAUACCUGCCCUCUGAAUUAAUCGAGAUGCUCUUGUUCUAAAUACAGUCCUGGAGGUGCAAGAGGUGUGACCAUAAUCUGGACUUGCAUGUAGCGGGGCCUGGUGUUUGCCACUGCCUCCAUGUUUUCCCGUGUGCUGUUCUACCCUCCUGUGUCUGCCCUACAAAACCCCUGAUCACCCAACUACUUCUGAAGGACCUGCAAAAGAUAGAUGAUCUAUGUGAAUGGUUUUGCAGAGGACAAAGAACAUCUUGCAUCUUUGCUGACUGGAUAUUUUCU
rnacentral:lncRNA from 1 species